UACGGAGGGGACUAGCGUUGUUCGGAAUUACUGGGCGUAAAGGGCUCGUAGGCGGCCAACUAAGUCGGACGUGAAAUCCCCAGGCUCAACCUGGGAACUGCGUCCGAUACUGGAUGGCUUGAAUCCGGGAGAGGGAUGCAGAAUUCCAGGUGUAGCGGUGAAAUGCGUAGAUAUCUGGAGGAAUACCGGUGGCGAAGGCGGCAUCCUGGACCGACAUUGACGCUGAUGAGCGAAAGCUAGGGGAGCAAACGGG
rnacentral:rRNA from 1 species